rnacentral:misc_RNA from 1 species
CUCAAAAUUAUCUUCUUUUGCAUCUAUAGCUUGAUGGAUAAUUUUGAUUUGAUCAUUGAAAAAUUGUUCUUGGAAAUUCAUCUGAAAAAGAAUGCAUUAUCACAGAAAUACAACAGUAAGAAAUUGAAACUGAUGCAGAAGUACAAAACAGGAGGAUAAGAAAAGAGAGGAAAACCUGGCUUGUUCUUCCUACUGAAUUGGUGAAAAUUAAUUAAACUUUAUGAGUUCCUGAUUCUGAUUAAUUUCUAAUCUGAAGGAUUUUCAGUGUAAAACAUGGCUUAUACUAACUCUAAUGGCAAUAAUUUCCUUCAAACUAGGCAAGGACUAGGCCUAACUUUUACAUUAUACCAAGCAGACCUAGGAAUGACUAUUUUUGAUGAAACUAAGAUUUUGUGAUAAUGUGAAAUUUUACAAGACUUCAAAUUCAACCACCUCUUAGAGGAUAACCCGGCAAUGGCCCAAGUAUAUGUAAAAGUUAAGGGGGCAGUGCUUUAAUCAUCAAAGUUUAUCAUGGGUAAUACUGCAUUGCAUGAGAGUUCACUAAGAUAUAUGCAAAUAUUAAAGCAAAUAAUAAUUUAAUAUAAUGUAGCUCCUGAGUGUGAAAAAUACUCAUAAAUCCACUGCUAAUGCCAGUAUGUAAGACUAUGUCUGCAUAAAUCAUUUGUAAAGUAUAUACACACAUUUCCUUGAAAUACAUUUAAUAUAAAGAAACCAUGAUAACUAACAGUCUCAUAGGUUUCUUGCGUCUAACAAAUCUAUUGAUUAAGCAAAAUACCAGCAUCUAAUGCUGCCUAACAUGUUCUAUGAACCAGAGCAUAUGGUACUAGCGCCUAAAUAGAAGUCACAAUUAGAUCACAACCUCCAUGAACUUUAUUUUGACCUAAAAUGCUGGGUAUUUUAUAAAGGACAAGGUAAUAACAACAGCAAGAUGUAAUUCAGAAAAAUCACCUGUCCUUUGUUUUCUUCAAGCAGCAAUUUAGUUCGCCGUCUCAUGCUGUGAUUCUUUUCUAUAGUCUUACAGAGCUCCUCACUCAAUCUGCUUACAGACUCAGCUAGAACUUUCGAAUGC